rnacentral:rRNA from 1 species
AUGAACGCUAGCGGCAGGCCUAACACAUGCAAGUCGAGGGGCAGCACAGGUAGCAAUACUGGGUGGCGACCGGCGGAUGGGUGCGUAACGCGUAUGCAACCUACCAUUGAUUGGGGCAUAGCCCGAAGAAAUUCGGAUUAAUACUCCAUAAUAUUCAUCAAAGGCAUCUUUUAAUGAAUUAAAGCUUUUGCGAUCAAUGAUGGGCAUGCGUGACAUUAGUUAGUUGGUGAGGUAACGGCUCACCAAAACGAUGAUGUCUAGGGGUUCUGAGAGGAUUAUCCCCCACACUGGUACUGAGACACGGACCAGACUCCUACGGGAGGCAGCAGUGAGGAAUAUUGGUCAAUGGACGCAAGUCUGAACCAGCCAUGCCGCGUGCAGGAUGACGGCCCUAUGGGUUGUAAACUGCUUUUCCACGGGAAGAACCCUCCGACGUGUCGGAGACUGACGGUACCGUGGGAAUAAGCAUCGGCUAACUCCGUG